ACAUGUACAUCAUUCAAACAAUGGACCAUUGUCAUCAGUAGCCAGUAUCUAUAAUAAAGAGGUACAUACUGACUGGAAUAGUUAUUCAUUUUAUCAUAUACUAAAGGUCAUAUAAGAGACUAUACUAGAUAUCAGCUACUGAAUGAUGAAUACCUUCCAGUGUUUGGUCCUUGUUGCUGCUAUUGGAUUCAUCAUUACUACUACUGCAGUUACCGCUAAAAACAUUUGCUACAGUGAUACAGAAUGCAAGGAUAAUGUAACUGCAUCUGAUAACUGCUGUGGUAUCCCUGGAGUCAAAGCUUUUGGGAUAUUUCUAACACCCUUUGAUAUAAAGUGCAUGAGGUGCAAACAGUAGCUGAGAGAUCAAGAAGGUCUGAGAAGGAACUGUACUUUCAAUAAAUAAAUAAAUAUUUACUAACAAUAAAUAAAAUAUUUUAAAAUUGAUAAUAAAUUUAAAGUUAA